rnacentral:rRNA from 1 species
GUGACGAAGCGACGCCGCGUGCGGGAAGAAGGCCUUCGGGUUGUAAACCGCUGUCGGGAGUUAGGAAAUGCAAGGAUGUUAAUAGCGUUCUUGCUUGACUAAGGCUCCGGAGGAAGCCACGGCUAACUCUGUGCCAGCAGCCGCGGUAAUACAGAGGCGGCAAGCGUUGUUCGGAAUUAUUGGGCGUAAAGAGCACGUAGGCGGCUGUGUAAGUCGGUUGUGAAAGCCUUCCGCUUAGCGGAAGAACGGCAUCCGAUACUGCAUAGCUUGAGUGCGGGAGGGGAGAGUGGAACUUCUGGUGGAGCGGUGAAAUGCGUAGAUAUCAGAAGGAACACCGGCGGCGAAGGCGACUCUCUGGUCCGUAACUGACGCUGAGUGUGCGAAAGCUAGGGGAGCAAACGGGAUUAGAUACCCCGGUAGUCCUAGUCGUAAACGAU